CAAAGGAAGAGACAAGAUAAUUUGAUGACAAUGACUCGUGAAUGGAAAUAAAACACCAGCGGGAAUGAUUUACUCUCUUUUUUCCUAGCUUAAGUUAUUGAUUGAGACGGCGAUUCAUGCUGUUAUUAUAAUUUUACACCCUUGUGUUCUUGGCAAAUAUUACGUUAUUUGGUUCAUAUGAAUGAGCACUUUUGAUGUUGUCUGCUUUCCUGAAUGAACCCUUGAUUUAGAACUACAUGACUGUCAUGUUGCCAUAUGUGGUAUCCUUUCCUGUUCAUAUAAAUCUGCAACAUGGGUGUUACUCAUGUUUCCUCAACCAACUUAUAGUCACUUUUGACUGGCAAGUGUAUCUUAACGGGCAUUCUGAUCUAUCUUUUUUGUUAGCUGCAGGUUCAAAAGCGCAGUGAUGAUAUUUUCUUACAGUUACUUCAAUUACAACACCUGGUUUAUCUUUAAGGGUUGCAGGAACAUGAAUUGGCGGCAGCUCAGCUGGCUGUUGUUUAUGUUGAAAUAAUACUGAUGCUCAAUCCAUAUCUCGACUUCUCAUUUCUGAACAUUAGAAAUGCUGAGCAGUCCAUGGAAGCUUGCCUAUGCUGCUUCUGUGCAACAUUAUUUCUCUGGACCUUUUUGCCUCCGCAGCUCUAGACAUGAACUUCCUGAUACGGUAAUAAAAUCCAGGUGGAAAGCCCUCCCAUAUACAUUAAAUUUGCUUGCUUUGGCAUCUUACUUCCUCUAAAUUUUAAAUAGGAUAUUCUUGAGACAUAGUUUUAGGAAAUAGUUUGGUUUCAGUCAACAUGCAACAUAUGUGGUGCAUUAUAUAAGCUAAGCUGGGCUAUUGAAGUAAUUGUUCUUUAGCUAUUCCUUUGCAUUUCUUAAUAUGAUGUUGGUAUAGCCAUGAUGGCUCCUGUGUCGUUCUUUGGUUUUCUUGGAAUUUUUUUCCUUUGGCUAACAAAUAGUAGUUCAUCAGUUUCACAGACUUUAGUUGCCUGCUAGCUUCUUAGCAGCAGUUUAGCUUUGUUUGCGGUUAUAUAUGGUUGUGAGCUGCAGAAACCAUCAUGUCCUGCAAAUUGUUUCUAUACAAUGCUAAUUCCUUUAUCGCUCAAUUAUUGGGGGUACUCAGCUUGGAUUUCAGACCUACAUUCAGUCAGUCAUCUGUUGGCAGUUUAGUUGUGUGAAGCACCUAUAUUGUUUGUCAGCAUCUCCUUUACAUAUAGAAGAGACCUUAUCAAAAGCAAAUUAUGAGGAUGCUAAUUCCUUUAUCGUUCAAUUCUUGGGGGUACUCAACUUGGAUUUCAGACCUACAUUCAUUCAGUCAUCCGUUGGCAGUUUAGUUGUGUGAAGCACCUAUAUUGUUUGUCAGCAUCUCCUUUACAUAUAGAAGAGACCUUAUCAAAAGCAAAUUAUGAGGAACUAAAAGAAAAGGCUAGAUUUAUAAAUGUGGUGCUCUCUCUUCCUGUUGGUGUGAGGCGGACAGAUGCCACCUACUUCCAGAUAAGCUCGGCUGCUCUCCCUUCAACUCAUGCCGAUGGCAGCGCGUCCUCCCUUCCCUUCGGGCAAGAGGGAGUUGGAGCUGUUCCGGUGACCGGUAGAGGAAGGGUACGCCGUGAGGCGGCCCCGUCGGAUAACGUAGCAACCCUUCCAGCAACCAAUUCAACUGCGGUUUUGCUCUCUGUAUUUCUAUGACGGUCUUUUAGUUGUGGACAACCUUUAUAAAACGAAUGUUCUAGGCUCUAGGUCACUGCUACUAUAUACUUUUUAGCUUUAGUUCCCUUUAUUGAUUGCGAUUUAUCUAAAAAGUUGUUUAGUUUAUCCACCUGGAUUGAAAAGCAUGCUCUGACUUGCUUAAAGGAUAUCUAGUUAUGUAGUUAGACCGGUUGAGGUACAACAUUACAUGUUGACUAUAGGCACAUGUUCAUUAUAUGUACGCUGGUAAUUAAAGUGGUGUUGUUGCUACUCUAUAUAAUAUGAUCAUUAGCCA